rnacentral:rRNA from 1 species
AUUGAACGCUGGCGGCAGGCUUAACACAUGCAAGUCGAACGAAUGGCGGACGGGUGAUUAAUGCAUGGGACUCUGGCUUAUGGAGGGGGAUAAAGACGGGAAACUGUCGCUAAUACCGCGUACCACAGGAUGAGCCCAAGUGGGAUUAGGUAGUUGGUGGGGUAAUGGCCUACCAAGCCGACGCGCUCUAGCUGGUAGGAGAGGAUGACCAGCAACAUCGUGACGGAUACACGGCCCAGACUCCUACGGGAGGCAGCAGUGGGGAAUAGUGCGCAAUGGGGGCAACUUGGCGCAGCAAUGCGGCGUGAAUGAUGAAGGCCUUCGGGUUGUAAAGUUCUUUCGGUGUCGGGGCGUUAAUCGCAGAAGAAGCACCGGCUAACUCCGUGCCAGCAGCCGCGGUAAUAC